GUUGCAGUCUUGUUCAUGGAGUU
rnacentral:sRNA from 1 species